AAAGAACCUUUGCAAUCAGCCAAGGAGAUAUUCACCAGUGCUAAGAGGUGGAAAAUAGAACUAUAUCUUUGGAUCUCACCUACUUCUGCAACUGUCCCCAGGCAUUGCCUGUCCUCCAGCUGGCUGCCUAGAAGUCUCCCCUGAGCCCUGAUUUCCAGCAGCCGACCCUUCUUUCAAGAUAAUCAAGAGUUGGCUGGGAGUGCUAAUCCCCACCAAGCACAGCCAAGGAAAUAUCACCGCUCUGGAAUUCUGAGUCUUUGCAGAGGUACAAACCAUCAUGUU